rnacentral:rRNA from 1 species
AAGCUCGUAGUUGAAUUUCGGGGUUAGUAGGUUGGUCAUGCCUCUGGUAUGUACUGGUCUCACUGAUUCCUCCUUCCUGAUGAACCGUAAUGCCAUUAAUUUGGUGUUGCGGGGAAUUUGGACUGUUACUUUGAAAAAAUUAGAGUGUUUAAAGCAAGCUAACGCUUGAAUACAUUAGCAUGGAAUAAUGAAAUAGGACGUUCGAUCCUAUUUUGUUGGUUUCUAGGAUUGACGUAAUGAUUAAUAGGAUAGUUGGG